rnacentral:rRNA from 1 species
AUUGAUCCCGUCGGACCCCACUGCUAUCGAGAUGGGACUAAAGUAUGCUAGUCGAACGACCAGAACUAUGUCUGGAAGUGGCACACUGCUCAGUAACACGUAGCUAACCUACCCUUAGGACGUGGAUACCCCCGAGAAAUUGGGGUUAAUCCGCGAUAGAUGUAAUGUCCUGGAAUGGUAUUACGUCUAAAGGUAUUUCAUACAUGUUUGAAAUAUGCCUAAGGAUGGGGCUGCGGCCGAUCAGGCUGUUGGUGAGGUAAUGGCUCACCAAACCUUUGACCGGUACGGGCCAUGAGAGUGGUAGCCCGGAGAUGGACACUGAGACAAGGGUCCAGGCCCUAAGGGGCGCAGCAACCGCGAAACCUCCACAAUGCACUCACGUGCGAUGGGGCUAUCUCGAGUGCCACCUGAUGAAGGUGGCUUUUCCUUGGUCUAAAAAGCCUUGGGAAUAAGAGGGGGCAAGACUGGUGUCAGCCGCCGCGGUAACACCAGCCCCUCGAGUGGUGGGGAUGAUUAUUUGGCCUAAAGCGUCCGUAGCCGGCCGAGCAAGUCUUCCGUUAAAUCCAGCGUCUCAAGCGUUGGACCGCGGGAGAUACUACACGGCUAGAGAGUGGGAGAGGUCAGCGGUAUUCUGGGGGUAGGGGCGAAAUCCUUUGAUCCCCGGAGGACCACCAGUGGCGAAGGCUGCUGACUAGAACACGUCUGACGGUCAGGGACGAAAGCUGGGGUAGCGAACCGGAUUAGAUACCCGGGUAGUCCCAGCCGUAAACGAUGCAUGCUAGGUGUUGGGUUGGCCACGAGCCACCCCAGUGCCGCAGGGAAGCCGUUAAGCAUGCCGCCUGGGAAGUACGAUCGCAAGAUUGAAACUUAAAGGAAUUGGCGGGGGAGCACCACCAGGCGUGAAGCCUGCGGUUUAAUUGGAGUCAACGCCGGGAACCUUACCGGGAGCGACAGCAGAAUGAAGGCCGGAUUGAAGAUCUUGCCAGACGAGCUGAGAGGAGGUGCAUGGCCGUCGCCAGUUCGUGCCGUGAGGUGUUCUCUUAAGUGGGAUAACGAACGAGACCCGUGCCACAUGUUGCCACCAGUAUCUAAAGGAUAGCUGAGCUCUCUUGUGGGACCGCAGCCGAUAAGGCUGAGGAAGGUACGGGCAACGGCAGGUCAGUAUGCCCCGAAUCUCCCGGGCCACACGCGGGCUGCAAUGGUACAGACAGAGGGCUGCCACCCCGAAAGGGGGAGCCAAUCCCUAAACUGUACCUCAGUUGGGAUCGAGGGUUGCAACCCACCCUCGUGAACAUGGAAUGCCUAGUAACCGCCAGUCAUCAUCUGGCGGUGAAUACGUCCCUGCUCCUCGCACACACUGCCCGUCGAACCACCCGAAUGAGGUUUGGGUGAGGAAUGGUCGAAUGUUGGCCGUUUCGAACCUGGGCCUCGUAAGGAGGGUUAAGUCGUAACAAGGUG